rnacentral:rRNA from 1 species
GUCUCUGGGGAAAUCUACCGGCUUAACCGGAAGGCGUCUCAGGGAUACUGGCAGACUAGGGACCGGGAGAGGUGAGGGGUACUCCAGGGGUAGGAGUGAAAUCCUGUAAUCCUUGGGGGACCACCUGUGGCGAAGGCGCCUCACCAGAACGGCUCCGACAGUGAGGGACGAAAGCUGGGGGAGCAAACCGGAUUAGAUACCCGGGUAGUCCCAGCCGUAAACGAUGCGCGUUAGGUGUAUCGGUGACCACGAGUCACCGAGGUGCCGAAGAGAAAUCGUGAAACGUGCCGCCUGGGAAGUACGGUCGCAAGGCUGAAACUUAAAGGAAUUGGCGGGGGAGCACCACAACAGGUGGAGCCUGCGGUUUAAUCGGACUCAACGCCGGAAAACUCACCGGAUAAGACAGCUGAAUGAUAGUCGGGCUGAAGACUCUACUUGACUAGCUGAGAGGAGGUGCAUGGCCGUCGUCAGUUCGUAUG